UACGGGGGGGCAAGCGUUGUUCGGAAUUACUGGGCGUAAAGGGCUCGUAGGCGGCCAACUAAGUCAGACGUGAAAUCCCUCGGCUUAACCGGGGAACUGCGUCUGAUACUGGAUGGCUUGAGGUUGGGAGAGGGAUGCGGAAUUCCAGGUGUAGCGGUGAAAUGCGUAGAUAUCUGGAGGAACACCGGUGGCGAAGGCGGCAUCCUGGACCAAUUCUGACGCUGAGGAGCGAAAGCCAGGGGGAGCAAACGGGG
rnacentral:rRNA from 1 species